GACGAACCGUGCGAACGUUGUUCGGAUUCACUGGGCUUAAAGGGCGCGUAGGCGGGCGGUCAAGUCAGGGGUGAAAUCUUUCAGCUCAACUGGAAAAGUGCCUUUGAUACUGAUCGUCUCGAGGGAGGUAGGGGCAUGUGGAACUUCCGGUGGAGCGGUGAAAUGCGUAGAUAUCGGAAGGAACGCCGGUGGCGAAAGCGACGUGCUGGACCUCUUCUGACGCUGAGGCGCGAAAGCCAGGGGAGCAAACGGG
rnacentral:rRNA from 1 species